rnacentral:rRNA from 1 species
CCCUUAGAUGUCCUGGGCCGCACGCGCGUUACACUGAUGCAUUCAACGAGCUUAUAACCUUGGCCGAGAGGCCCGGGCAAUCUUGUUAACGUGCAUCGUGAUAGGGAUAGAUUAUUGAAAUUAUUAAUCUUGAACGAGGAAUUCCUAGUAAACGCAAGUCAUCAGCUUGCAUUGAUUACGUCCCUGCCCUUUGUACACACCGCCCGUCGCACCUACCGAUUGAAUGGUCCGGUGAAAUCUUGGGAUUUUGUUUUGUUUGCAUUUAUUUGUAUCGAGACGAGAGAACUUGAGUAAACCUUACCAUUUAGAGGAAGGUGAAGUCGUAACA